CAAAAAGACCCGCCUAGCCACUAGCUCCUAGGCGGGCGCCUAGACGGCCGAUUUUUCGAACACUAAAUUCUAGGUUUAUUUUGCAUAUAGCUCGGGUGUUGUAGCAUUUCUGCACUGGGUUCUAGUAUUCCAUGGAACGAAUCAAGACCAAAGCUUCCAAACAAACCCAUUAGAGUACAUGACCUGAAGUAAGCUGGUGUAGAUGUCGCAUCCAAGUUGUUGUCUCUGAGGUCUGAACUUGCUGAUGCUGGUUCGUAUGUGAUAUUUAUAUCUAUGCUUGAUGAAAUUGCCUGGCUGUUGAACUUGAGAGGCAGUUAUGUGUGCAUAUUGGAUUGUGGAGACUGAUAAAGCUAAGUUAUUUAUAGAUACUUCUAAAGUGAGCGCAGAGGUGAUGGAUCACUUGAAGAAUGCAGGAAUUGAAUUGAGGCCAUAUGAUUCCAUUGUUUCUGAAGUAGAAGGGUAAGUUUGGCCCAAGCAUGGGCUACAAAGAAUCAAAAGUUUCAAUAGUUUUUUUUUUUCUUUUCACAUAAAGAAUAACAAUGAAAACCUCAUCAUCCGAUCAAAGACGGUUUCGACGUGUCAACUACAAUUCAUUAAAAAUGAUGGUUAUUACUUUUUC